CGACAACAGUUGAAGAAACCACAACAGAGACAAUUUCAUCUACAUCCACAAAGCCACCAAAAGAAGUCACCUCCGGCCCAACAACAACUUCCACCACUGUAAUUGUUGAAACCUCUACUUCAACAUCACAGCCCACAACAACAGGUGAAGAAACAACAGGGCCAGUUGUCAUAACUUCCAAUCCAACUACUUUAACAACAACAACAAUUGCACCCACAACAACGACACCUACCACGGGUGGAACUACAAGAAUUGAAGAAACAACAUCUGAGUCAAUUUCAUCUACAUCCACAAAACCACCUAAAGAAGUCCCCACGGGCCCAACAACCACUUCCACCACUGUAAUUGUUGAAACCUCUACUUCAACAUCACAGCCCACAACAACAGGUGAAGAAACAACAGGGCCAGUUGUCAUAACUUCCAAUCCCACUACUUUAACAACAACAACAAUUGCACCCACAACAACGAAACCUACCACAGGUGGAACGACAACAGUUGAAGAAACCACAAAUGAGACAAGUCCAUCUACAAAACCACCUAAAGAAGUCACCUCCGGCCCAACAACAACUUCCACCACUGUAAUUGCUGAAACCUCUACUUCAACAUCACAGCCCACAGCAACAGGUGAAGAAACAACAGGGCCAGUUGUCAUAACUUCCAAUCCCACUACUUUAACAACAACAACAAUUGCACCCACAACAACGAAACCUACCACAGGUGGAACGACAACAGUUGAAGAAACCACAAAUG